AGAAAGUCCCUGUAAAACAGAACAAAAAGCAAUGAUCAGAGAAAUAGGAGGAGAAUCAUAAGAGAUGUCAAAGAAGCAGAGAAUUUGGAAAGGUCUGGAUAAGAAACAGUCUCAAAUGAAAAGCCCAGUUAGAAUAACACUGGGAGUGUCCAGUGUCUUUGACAAUUUGGAGGUGAUGCUUUUGAAAGCAGUUUGAGUUGAGUGGUAAGGUCAGAAGCCAGGCAGCAGUGAGUUUAGAAGUGAGGAAGUAAAGACUCCAAGUAUUUAUCAUUACAAAAUAGGUGUUAUUUUCAAGACGCUUGGCUGAGAAGUAAAGGAGAGGUCAAGAGAGCCUUGCUCCUCGAUAGGAGGUGAGGGAGGAAGCAGAAGAAGUUCAUGCUGGUGGCCUCGGUUUUCAUGAUGAAAUAGGCUAGGCCAUGUGCUGACAGAGUGACUUAAGAAGAAGAGUGAAGGCUUGGUGUGAGCACCAGGCAGAAUGGGAGAGGAGACGCCAGCCAAGGAAACGUAUCCAGCCUCUUUCCCAUGCCGCAUCCCCUGAGCCUGCACCAGAGCAAUGCUGUUGCAGUAUAUAAGGAGGUGGUGGUAGAAGUGGAGAAUGUAUUCAGACCAUCAUACAUCAUUUUAUGGAAGAAAAAGCCUGACACUUUCAUUGGCAAAUAAAUCCUGGAGCUCUGAGUACUGGGAAGGACCUAAGAGGUCAGCUCAUCCAUCUUCACAUCUCUGGGCAGCUCUGCACUGAAAAUCCAUCCCCUAAAUGCAGCUGUCUAGUGGUUUCCCUCACUAUUCUCUAAGGAAGCUACCUUCCUGACCUUCUUUGAUAAGCCAUUUUAGUAUCUUAGUAGAAAGCAUGAAAUUGUUACUAAAGCACCUGCAGUGCAGUAGGGUUACGAAAUUGGAGCACAAAUGGAGUUAGGAGGCUGGACUCUGAGACCAGAACAACCUGGGUUUGAAUUCUGAAUUGAACACCAACUAACUGGGUGACCUUGUGCAAGUUAACCUCUUAAAAAAAUGAAAUAAUAAAAAAGACAGUCCUGAAGAUGUUAUAUGCACAUAUAUACACAUAUAUAAUAUAUGUAAAUGAUAAAUAUAUACUCAAUAAAUACAGACGUACAAAUAUAUACUCGACAAAUGUCUCUUCUCUUCUUCCUUUCUUCUAUUCCUC
rnacentral:lncRNA from 10 species